rnacentral:rRNA from 1 species
GGCGGCAGGCCUAACACAUGCAAGUCGAGCGCGAAAACACUUCGGUGUGAGUAGAGCGGCGGACGGGUGAGUAAUGCUUGGGAAUCUGCCCAGUAGUGGGGGAUAACGUGUGGAAACGCACGCUAAUACCGCAUACGUCCUACGGGAGAAAGCAGGGGAUCUUCGGACCUUGCGCUAUUGGAUGAGCCCAAGUCGGAUUAGCUAGUUGGUGGGGUAAUGGCCUACCAAGGCGACGAUCCGUAGCUGGUCUGAGAGGAUGAUCAGCCACACUGGGACUGAGACACGGCCCAGACUCCUACGGGAGGCAGCAGUGGGGAAUAUUGCACAAUGGGCGAAAGCCUGAUGCAGCCAUGCCGCGUGUGUGAAGAAGGCUCUAGGGUUGUAAAGCACUUUCAGUAGGGAGGAAAAGCUUGAGGUUAAUAACCUUGAGCCCUGACGUUACCUACAGAAGAAGCACCGGCAAACUCCGUGCCAGCAGCCGCGGUAAUACGGAGGGUGCGAGCGUUAAUCGGAAUUACUGGGCGUAAAGCGCGCGUAGGUGGUUUGAUAAGCUAGCUGUGAAAGCCCCGGGCUCAACCUGGGAACUGCAGUUAGAACUGUCUGACUAGAGUACAGUAGAGGGUGGCGGAAUUUCCUGUGUAGCGGUGAAAUGCGUAGAUAUAGGAAGGAACAUCAGUGGCGAAGGCGGCCACCUGGACUGAUACUGA